rnacentral:rRNA from 1 species
CCUACGGGGGGCAGCAGUGGGGAAUAUUGCACAAUGGGGGAAACCCUGAUGCAGCGACGCAGCGUGAAUGAAGAAGGCAUUCGUUAUGUAAAGCUCUAUCAGCGGGGAAGAAAAUGACGGUACCUGAGUAAGAAGCCCCGGCUAACUACGUGCCAGCAGCCGCGGUAAUACGUAGGGGGCAGGCGUUAUCCGGAUUUACUGGGCGUAAAGGGAGCGUAGACGGCAGUGCAAGUCUGGAGUGAAAUGCGGGGGCUCAACCCCCGGACUGCUCUGGAAACUGUACGGCUGGAGUGCAGGGGAGGUAAGUGGAAUUCCUAGUGUAGCGGUGAAAUGCGUAGAUAUUAGGAGGAACACCAGUGGCGAAGGCGGCAUACGGGACUGUAACUGACGUUGAGGCUCGAAGGCGUGGGGAGCAAACAGGAUUAGAUACCCGGGUAGUC